rnacentral:rRNA from 1 species
AUUGAACUCUGGCGGCAGGCCUAACACAUGCACGUCGAACGAGUGGCGGACGGGUGAGUAAUGUCUGGGAAACUGCCUGUUGGAGGGGGAUAACUACUGGAAACGGUAGCUAAUACCGCAUACCAUCAGAUGUGCCCAUAUGGGAUUAGCUAGUUGGUGGGGUAACGGCUCACCACGGCGACGAUCCCUAGCUGGUCUGAGAGGAUGACCAGCCACACUGGAACUGAGAAACGGUCCAGCAGCCUACGAGAGGCAGCAGUGGGGAAUAUUGGACAAUGGGCGCAAGCCUGAUGCAGCCAUGCCGCGUGUAUGAAGAAGGCCUUCGGGUUGUAAAGUACUUUCAGCGGGGAGGCGGUACCCGCAGAAGAAGCACCGGCUAACUCCGUGCCAGCAGCCGCGGUAAUAC